GUGGCUAGAAAGAAGGAGAGUAAUUUUGUACGGAUUCCACGAGGCUGAGAAGAAGAGUGGACAAUGGAGGUUGAAGGAGAUCAAACAGAGAACCAUAUCUGAAGCAUUUCAGAAGCUCGAUGGGAAUUUGAUUGGGGAAGGCUUGCUAUUCAAUUUCGGACAGUUAGGACAGUUACGUGUUUGGAAACAAUUCUUUCAAAGAGAAGAGAGAAACAAAUCACGAUACUGUAAAAACUCCAGAAAUUGGAUUACAACUUUUAGCUUGUUAUCAUCGUGCGAGAACCCAGGCAUCUCCUGAAAGUAAUCAUCGUUUGUGAAAGAAGGAUGAGUUAAACAUACCUGAGGUAAGCGAAGGAAGGAGUCAUUUCAAAGUUUGGUGAUGUAAAGAGAUUGAUGAAAAGAGGUACUUGUUUGAUGAGUUAGAAGAAUGUGAAAGAGAUGACGGUAUUUAUAGAUAACUUAGAAGCUUAGGGUUUUGGCAUUCUCGUGUGUUGAAAGUCUUAGCCAGCAAGCACAAUAUCUAAGAUAUGACUAACAAAUAAGGAUUAUUCAUUUAUUUGGCAAGGAAUGUUACCAUUGUUUUAGGGAAGUUUAAGUUAUUGCUAAAUAAUAGUAGGAUUUUUCGGAGAUUGUGAACAAUAUAGGUAUGAUUGCAUUAGAUUGAAGAAUUCGUAGAUCUUUCUAAUAA